UAUAUGUAUUUAUUUUAGAGGUGCACAUGGGUCAGGUUGUCGGGUUUCGGAUGCAUCAGGUUCGGGUUUUUGGUGGGAAAAUAGGGUAUCGAACCUGCUCUGAAAUUUUCGAUUUUUGGGUGAUUUUGGGUUUCGUCAAGUUUCGGGUGGGAUUGGUCCAAAAAUGGACUUUGGUCUGAAAAAUGGGCCUUGGUAAAAUAAUUUAAAAAAUACUAUUUUUUUUUACACUUUUUAUUUUUUUUUUUUACUUUUCACAUGUUUUUUUUUACUUUGUUGUUAGUUUAGUAAUGUUGAUUUUUUUACAAAUUAGGCAUUGGUAAAUUGUUUUGAAAAAUGCAUUAAUUUUUUCAAAAAUUAAAUUUUUUUUAAUUAUGUUCGAUUUUGAGUAUUCUUAGUUUCAAAACUCGAACCCAAUCCGAACCAUGUCGGGUUCGAACCAGAUUUUACCCAAAUCCUGACAGGUUGUAUAUUUUGAUCUCAUAUAAUUAUGAGAAAUAUUAUGUAAUUGUGUACCUUGUAUAUAUAAUUCUCAAAGAAUUAUCAAUAAAAUCAUUAGAAAAUAUUCUUGUAAACUUUGUCAUGGUACCAGAGCAUGGUUUCAUGUUUAUAUUUUCUGAUCAUAUAAUUCUUAUUCCGCUGCAUACUAUAUAUCUUACCUCUUCCUGAUUAUAUAGCUUCAUUUUAUUGUUGUUUGUUAUUUUUCACAAUGACUGGUUAAAAAAAUGGCAGUUUAGAUGCCUUGUCAGAUAGAGAUCUUAUUACUUUACCAGCCUUUCAUAUGCAAGAAAUGCCAUAACUAAUUACUCCGGAACGACUUGACGGUACGAAGUACAUCGAGUGGUCCUUGAAUGCUCAAAACAAAAUUAGAGGCAGAAAGCGUUGGGGCUAUUUCUAAAGCUGCUCCAAAAGAUACAAAAUAUGAAGAAUAUGAAAUGAAGCAUGGGAGGAAGAAAAUUGUAUGGUCAAAUCUUGGCUUUUGGAUGCUAUGACCAAAGAGAUAUGAUCACUUUUUAUUCGCUUGUCUACAGCCAAGGAAUAUGAUGCUAUUGAGAACUGUACUAUGGAUUAAGCCAAUUGCAUUAAGAAAUAUACCACAAAAAUUAACUCUCAACGUGUGUAUGUUUUCUUGGCUGGUCUUGACUCUAAUUUGGACGGGGUUCGUAGUCGUGUCCUUUCUACUUUACCACUUCAAAGCUUGCAGGUCAUUUACGCUAUAGUUUGUGCCGGGCGAAUCGUCAAGAGGCUAUACUUGGUGAAAUGCCAAAUGAAGGGGUUGCUAUGGCUGCUCGAAAAUUGCCAAAGAAAGGGGUUCGUAAGUGUACCCAUUGCAAUGGCGAUAACCAUGGGAUCGAUACAUGCUUUAAGCUCCAUGGUUUUCUUGAAUGGUAUCAAAAGGGUGAGAUGACGUCUCAUAUGUUUUCUAAUCCGAAAGCAGAUGGUCAAAAUCCAAAUAGCAACUUAGUCACGGCUACCGGAUUUGUAGCAAAGACAUGUGUGUCUAACUCCAGACCAUAUGACUGGAUUAUUGACACUGGAGCUCCAGACCAUAUGACUUGUGAUCGGUAUAGAUUUAUCCAUAUAAACACCUUUUGGAGAUCACCCGUUCUCUUUUAAUUGGUGGUCAUGUUCCAUCUCAUUUAUGGGGUGAAGCCUUGAGUUCGGCUGUCUACUUAAUUAAUCGCACACCUUCUAGUAUUCUCAAAUUUAAGAGUCCUUUGGAUGUGAUUUCUGACCACUGUACGCUUCCUUCAGUGGUUCAUUUGGCUCCUCGUGUCUUUGUUUGUGUGGUGUAUGUUCACCUACAUGCACAUAACGCACAUAACGCACCAAGCUUGAUUCUAGGUGCAUUAAAAUGUGUAUUUGUUGGCUAUGGGUCAACUCAAAAAGGUUAUCAAGUUAUCGUUGUUAUAUAUAGUUUCACAAAACUCCGGAUAAGAUGAAGUCCUUUGAUUAGCGUGUCGGGAGGACACGUGGGGUAAUUAUGUGUAUUAAAUGUGUUUAAAGACCUGUUUUUGUUAAAA